rnacentral:rRNA from 1 species
GACGGAGGCCCCGAGCGUUGUUCGGAAUUAUUGGGCUUAAAGCGCGUGUAGGCGGGCCGGUAAGUGCUUUGUGAAAUCCCCGGGCUCAACCCGGGAAUUGCUUGGCAUACUGUCGGUCUUGAGGCAGGUAUGGGUCACUGGAACCUUAGGUGUAGCGGUGAAAUGCGUAGAUAUCUAAGGGAACGCCGGUGGCGAAAGCGGGUGACUGGGCCUGUCCUGACGCUGAGACGCGAAAGCGUAGGGAGCAAACGGG